GAUGAACGCUGGCGGCGUGCUUAACACAUGCAAGUCGAACGGUGAACACGGAGCUUGCUCUGUGGGAUCAGUGGCGAACGGGUGAGUAACACGUGAGCAACCUGCCCCUGACUCUGGGAUAAGCGCUGGAAACGGCGUCUAACACUGGAUAUGUGACGUGACCGCAUGGUCUGCGUUUGGAAAGAUUUUUCGGUUGGGGAUGGGCUCGCGGCCUAUCAGCUUGUUGGUGAGGUAAUGGCUCACCAAGGCGUCGACGGGUAGCCGGCCUGAGAGGGUGACCGGCCACACUGGGACUGAGACACGGCCCAGACUCCUACGGGAGGCAGCAGUGGGGAAUAUUGCACAAUGGGCGCAAGCCUGAUGCAGCAACGCCGCGUGAGGGAUGACGGCCUUCGGGUUGUAAACCUCUUUUAGCAGGGAAGAAGCGAAAGUGACGGUACCUGCAGAAAAAGCGCCGGCUAACUACGUG
rnacentral:rRNA from 1 species